rnacentral:lncRNA from 1 species
GCUUAUUCAGUUAUAAGAGGAACUGUUCAAAACAACAGGAUCCUUGCAAACGGUGAUAUUGAGUAUGAUGUGAAAGUGGAAGACAACUUUAAGGUAUUAUACAAUAUGAUACUCUGUUUACUAUACAAUGAUUAUAAGGAGCUAGAGUUGCUCAUCCUUAAUUGAAGUAGAGUGACCUGCAGUUGUUUCCAUCGCCAUUACAUGUAUUAGGUUUCUAGGGAACCAAUUGUCUUUUGACAGUUUCAUUAAUCAUAACAUGCAUAACUUAUCUUCUCUUUUAUAAUUACUAAUUAGUAGAACAUGCUUGUAGUAUCGCAAGUUUAAAAGAAAUGAUAAUUUUUAUGGGAAUAUUCCGAAGGAAAUCAGUCUCCAGUGUAAUUUAAACUUAUUCAUCAGAGACCUAUAAAUAAAAACAAUGUUUAUAAAAGCAGGAACAACACUGGUUCGACUCAUUAUAUGUUUGAACAAGAUCAAAAGGGAAACAACCGCCCUUAAAACUCAACAUAAAAACAAAAAGACUGAGUAAAAAAAAUAUGAAGGAUUCCCAAAUUCCAGUGGGAUUCAUGCAUUGUUGUUACAAUAACAGUUCAACAGAUUAUAUUGUCUUGCAAGUCCAAAAAUGAAUGAAAACCAGCAGACUUUAUUACACAGUCUCAACUAAGCUUCUGAUUGGUUGGUCCUCAAUUCAUUUUUGGAGGUGACAUAAUAUGAUCAAUCUCAGUCACCUGCUAUGUUCAUCAUUGAAUGGGGGCUAUUUAGUAGGAUCAACACACAUAAGAUGUUGGCCAUUUUCUUAGUCAUCAACCAACUGAAACUGGUAGUCGCUCUAAUUGGGUAACCUGGUGAUAUGUUAUGAUCUUAACUACAUGUAUUGAUAAAUCAGUUGUAAACACGAAAUCCUGUAUUUCAACUUAAACUUAACAUUAAAAUCUCUUUAACCAGCAUAGUAAGUUAUAAAGGCCUCACUCAAAAAAUAUAAUAAAACGAUUUAAAGGAAAACCUAGCGGUAUGAUUUAUGUAAAAAGCAAUAAACAAAAACAACUUUUUUAUAAAUCAAAGAAAGGCAACUUCCGAAUUACAGGCUCAUACCUUGGGAAAGAUGCAUACCAAAGUGGCGGGGUUUAACAUGUUUAAAAGCUCUUAAACUUCCCCUUUACUUGGGAUAGUUGUGUGAUAGAAAUCGUAAGAACAAACGACACUAAUCAGAAAGGUUUCAAGCAAACAAAUCCAUAAAAAAUCCAAACAAAAAUCUGUGAUAAUGUUAUGAAAGGAUUAAGGACGUUUUUAGAAAUAAUUAGAAAUUGAAAUAACGUACAUCUGAGUAAAACAAUAGUAUAUGUUUAUAGUUUAUUAUGAUAAUUAAAAGUAAAUGGGAUAUAAAUUUCAAAUAAAUCAGAAGAAAAUACACAAGUAAAAUUAAUACAGAUUCGUAAGAAUAACGAACUUUAUCUUAGACGCAAGAUAAUCAAUAAUAGUACAAGUCAAGUACCUUAUUAAAUAAAUUAUUUGGCACGAUAAAUGAAAAUUAUGAGGUCAGUAAAUUGUCGGCCGGAGGUAUGAUGAAUUGCUAUGAAAUCCAAGGUUAUUAGUGGCUUUGAACUAGCUGUCAGAUAACUGCGAGUACUCUCAGAUCUGUUCAUUGUGUCUUUUUGUGUCGGGAUGAAUAAGUACCCGGCCACGUCCACUUGUAUUUUUUGUCCAUCUGAUGAGUUAAUGCUUUUUCAACUGAUUUUUAUAGUUCGUUCUUAUGUUGUACUGUUAUACCACUGUCCCAUGUUAGGGGGAGGGUUGGGAUCCCGCUUACAUAUUUAACCCCGUCACAUUAUUUAUGUAUGGAGCCUGUAAUUCAGUGUUUGUCGGGGUUUUUUUUAUGUGUUACAUAUUUGUUUUUCGUUUAUUUUUUAUAUAAAGAAGGCCUUUUGUUUUCUCGUUUGAAUUAUAAUUACAUUGUCUUAUCGGGGCUUUUAUAGCUGACUAUGCGGUAUGGGCUUUACUCAUUGUUGAAGGCCGUACGGUAACCUGUAGUUGUUACUGUCUGUGUCAUUUUGGUCACUUGUUGACAGUUAUCUCAUUGGUAAUCAUACCACAUCUUCUUUUUUUAUAUUAUAGCCAUAUUCACAAAAUUUGUAGAUACUACAGAAUCAUGAAUAUUCAGUAAAUUUAGGCACACAAUUUUGUUAUUAAUAACCAAUCAAAAGACUGAGAUACGAAGAUUGACGUAUACAAGAUAAUAAUUAAAAUUUAACAAAUCUUUAAUUAUUAUUUAUUAUAAAAAUCCGAAAUUGAAAUUCUUCCAAAAAUAUUCUUCUAUUUGAUUUAAGAAAUAAUAAUCCUAAUGCUUUUCAGAAAUAAAUAAAUACAUUUUGCAUAUUAUGAAGCAAAAAUGUUUUGGCAACAAAUUCCAUAGUUUGCAAAGAAGCUCAAUCUCGGCUGAGAACAGGAAUGUCGGGUAAUGAAUAGUGACUAUAAAAGCAAAUAUAAGUCUACUGCCCCUACAUUAUAAUCCCCAGUAGUCCCCAGAUGUCCAGACAUCAUUCUACCUCCAUAAAACGUAAACUAUGCAAACGAGAGAAGGGAAAUCAACAUCAUGUUCAUCAAUGUAGGAAACCCUCAAAGACAAACAUAGUACCAACAUCAACAAGUGAUCUCCAUGUGAAGGACCCACCAACAAAAACCUUAAAAGUAUCAUCACAACAAUUACCUUUAUCAGGAACGCUCCAAGCUAAACAUUUGAAAUACGAAGAUGUAUAAGUACCGAAACCGUUGACGAGCUAUAUGACAAAAAUACCUAAACUAAAAAGCCAAAUUCAUCUGAAGUCAACUUUGCCUGAGGUAGUACUGAGAGUACUUGCGGAUACUGGAAGCUUAUUGAACACCAACACCAACACAAAUAAAACUUUUAAUAUUUAUGAGAUAAGAAACAAAUGUAUCAGACGCUGGUUUAUAGUUUAUAUACUAUGAAUUGUAUAGACUAGUACAAAAAGCAAUAAUUAUUCAAUUAAAACUGCCAACAACAUUGAAAUAAAGGAUAUUUCACUAGACUAUUAUCACCAUAUUGGGUGAAGGGUGACCAGAAUAAUUUUAAUCAAUACCAAAAAUACAACGGAUAUAGCAUAUACAAUUAUAUUCAGAUUGAUAGAUGUAAUUGGGGAAAUUAAAUUUCGGAAAAUAAAUGAUGAAAUAGCCAUCACUAAUAUAGUUCCGCUUACAUAUAUAUUUGGAAAAAAGCCCCAAAAAGUGGAAGUUGACGAAAAAGUCAUGGGCAAACGAAACACAUAAAAACCACUUCAACAACACACUAUUUUUGUAAAAACGGACAUCCAAGGUUGAUAAGUUUUUCUUAGAUAUGCAUAGGUCAAUGAAAUAUACGUCAUUUGUAAGCAGGACCAAAAUUAGUUAUGAUAAAACAUAUUUGUUUAAUUCCAUAAUUCGCAUUUUUCCCAUUCUAUUUGCAAAAUUACAGAUGACCCUAUUAUUUGUAAAUAGUUUGAUGAAACUCCGUUCAUCGACAGAUUCAUGUGGAGUGAUUCUAAAUACAGGAUCUGAAUAUUUGAUUUCAGGUGAGUAUUUCAAUUACUUCUCAUUAAUUUUCAUUGUGGAAUGCAUUUUUGACAUUUGCAAACACAAUUUAUUUUAAAUAUUUUGUGCAACAAACUCAGCUAAAAUAUGUUAAUACAGAAACAAUUAAAGCUAUGACUUUGUCAUCAUACAAUAAAUUUCUUCGACAUUUGAACAACAUUUGUAAAAAUGUUAUCGCUCAGCUAAAUAGAUAUACCAUGUAAUGUUUGUUUUCCGCUUGUUCAAUAUUUCUGUUCAAAAUAUCAAUUAAAUCGAAUUUAACGGACUUCUAAACAACGCAGAUAGAAAUGAAGGGAUACACACAGAUACAUAUAUACCUAUAGAUGUGUUAUAUUUUCAAAUUUCAGGAGGAGUUAGGAAGGCUUCACCAAAUGGGAGAGUUUUCUAUACACAUCUCUGUUUUUGGGUUAACAAUUGGCAGAAUAUUCCAAAAAAUACACAAACAGCUUUAAAAACCAGAACUUUUACUACAUGUUAACCAGAAAAGCGCUUCGGACACAAAAAAAAAAUAUAUUAAACGUGUUGUUUUCAAAUUUUUAAUCGUUAUAAAGAAGAUUUGUUUAGUGACCGUAAAGUGCAAAUACUACGUAUUACAAAUAAUUCACUCCAAAUGUAUUAACUCAAAUAUGAUCAAUAGUUUAAGCAAAACAGUAUUAAAUAAUAAGUAAAAUUUGUAAGAUUAAUGUCGUCUGGAUAUGAAAUUUGAACAUGUAUAAAAGGUUACCCUGACUAUUUGUUUCUCUAAUCAUUCACGAUUGAUAAUUUAUAAUAAAAGUAAAAGCAUCUAACACAAACGACAUCAUCCUUAUAAAUUAAAAA